rnacentral:rRNA from 1 species
GACGAACGCUGGCGGCGUGCCUAAUACAUGCAAGUCGAACGAAGUUGUUUUAACUGGUGCUUGCACCGACUUAAACAACUGAGUGGCGAACGGGUGAGUAACACGUGGGUAACCUGCCCAGAAGUGGGGGAUAACAUUUGGAAACAGAUGCUAAUACCGCAUAAUAGAUAGAACCACAUGGUCCUAUUUUGAAAGAUGGCCUUUGUGCUAUCACUUCUGGAUGGACCCGCGGUG